rnacentral:rRNA from 1 species
UACGGGGGGGGCAAGCGUUGUUCGGAAUUACUGGGCGUAAAGCGCGUGUAGGCGGCUCGUUAAGUUGGUCGUGAAAGCCCAUGGCUCAACCAUGGAAGUGCAACCAAAACUGGCGAGCUUGAGUUCUGAAGAGGAUGGCGGAAUUCCCAGUGUAGAGGUGAAAUUCGUAGAUAUCAUGAGGAAUACCAGAGGCGAAGGCGGCUACCUGGACAAUUGCUGACGCUCAGGCACGAAAGCGUGGGGAGCAAAAGGG